GACCAGAAUAGCUGCUUCUAAUAAUUUUUUUUUUAAAUAAACAAUUCCGGAGCGACAGCGACGCAAGAUGGCAGCCACCACGGGCUCGGGAAUAAAAGUCCUUCGCAAUUUCCGACUGUUGGAAGAACUCGAAGAAGGCCAGAAAGGAGUAGGAGAUGGCACAGUUAGCUGGGGUCUAGAAGAUGACGAAGACAUGACACUUGGACAGGGAUGAUAAUUGGGCCUCCAAGAACAAUUUAUGAAAACCGAAUAUACAGCCUUAAAAUAGAAUGUGGACCUAAAUACCCAGAAGCACCCCCCUUUGUAAGAUUUGUAACAAAAAUUAAUAUGAAUGGAGUUAAUAGUUCUAAUGGAGUGGUGGAUCCAAGAGCCAUAUCAGUGCUAGCAAAAUGGCAGAAUUCAUAUAGCAUCAAAGUUGUCCUGCAAGAGCUUCGGCGCCUAAUGAUGUCUAAAGAAAAUAUGAAACUCCCUCAGCCACCUGAAGGACAGUGUUACAGCAUAUUUGUGUAA